rnacentral:rRNA from 1 species
UACGUAGGGGGCGAGCGUUGUCCGGAAUCAUUGGGCGUAAAGCGCGUGUAGGCGGCCCGGUAAGUCCGCUGUGAAAGUCCAGGGCUCAACCCUGGGAUGCCGGUGGAUACUGUCGGGCUCGAGUCCGGAAGAGGCGAGUGGAAUUCCUGGUGUAGCGGUGAAAUGCGCAGAUAUCAGGAGGAACACCAAUGGCGAAGGCAGGUCUCUGGGCCGAUACUGACGCUGAGGAGCGAAAGCGUGGGGAGCGAACAGG